rnacentral:misc_RNA from 1 species
AAGUCGUAACAAGGUAACCGUAGGUGAACCUGCGGUUGGAUCAUUAACAAAUCCAUUGCGGAAGGCACCCUUUCUUUGAUUGGGUCCCCCGUCACACACACCCUUUGUGAACCAUUGAAAUGUAUGUUGGCGAUCGUUGGUCAUAAGUGAUUAAGACCCACUUCUGAGUUCCAGUGUUCCAUGUCGGUCGGGAUAAGACACGGGAAUCUCAGCCUGGGAACCUCUCCCGACGGGGGGAGUCCUGGGGAGCCACGAUUCGUCAGACCGACAAAUUAAACUACCUGUCAUACUUUUAAGCACUGAUGAGAUUACAUGGGAAACCAAUGAGAAACAACUUUAGACAACGGAUCUCUUGGCUCUC